GCGUAGCAGAAGUAGGGUAACUGAAAUCGAAUUGUAGCAGUAAGAAUGCCGUUGAAGGUGUUGGACGCAACCAUAACAACUUUUGAUGGAGUUUUUGAAAAGUUUAAAGCAGAGUCGCCCAAAAACAAAGCCAAUUUCAUCCUGUUCCUGGCUGAUAUAGACCCUUCUACCAACCUUAGUUGGUGCCCUGGUAAUUCUUAAAACACCUAGACAGAUUUUAUUGCGUUUGCUGGUGCUCUUGAUACGAGCCACUAAAAUUUGUUUCACAUAAAUUUGAUUAUGAAUUCUAUAUAGUAUUUUUUCCAAAUAUGUUGUACUGUCGAACGAUUAUCAUACUCUACCAUGAACUCUACCGUCUUUCUCAGCUUGUGGUAUUGUAUGUUCUAAUCAUGGUUGCUGGGCCUACUGUAGAAUUAGUUUGAGUUUGUCUGUACUGAUUCAUGUGGGCAGUGGCGGAUCCAGAAAUUUUACAUCAGGGGUGCUCAACUACAUACAUUUAAAUGAAUUACUAAAUUUCGUAAAUAAAUAAUAACAUUGUCACUAAAGGCAGUGGAUGCUUAAUGUACAACAUAGGUCCACCACUGUAUGCGUGUAGCUGUAAUAAACGAUAAUGUAACAGCAACCGAUUCCAGAUUUGUAUUGAUAGAAACUGACUCAAUUACAAUAGCUAAUAAUCAAACUGAUACUUAAAUGACAGAAUUAUGAUUGAAGUAGUGAAAAUAACAUAGCUAGAGAUAUUAGAGAAGGAGAUGAGAUACUGGAACAUAGAAGAGGAUGAGGGGAUAGCAGACUUUACAAAAGUGCAAUAUAAUUCUCAUAAACCUAUAUUGCUCUCACAGUUCGCUUUUUGUCAACUCCGAUUCCAGGCAUAGCCACUUAAAUUGUUGUUGGGAUGCUUUGCUAAUACCGAUCAAGACCUAUUCAUAACAAUACCUCCAUCCCCAAUUAGAACUUUGUCCUCAAUGUUCGGUUCGAGUCAGGAACAGUGAUGCUCAGGGGCUCCCUACUGAUUAUCCCAAUACCAAGACAUGCUUUAUGACUUGAAAAAAAUGUGUGCCCUAGUGCACCUGUUAUGGAACAAUCAAAACCGUGGUCGUUGUGGCCUUUAGUGAACGGUAACAGAUUUGUUAACUCAAGUGUCAUUGUAACCAGCCCUGCAUAGACAUGACUUUGAUUGCCCUCUUUUUGGAGCAGUUAGCAGUAAGCUAAAUGAGAAAGCCAAGGAAAGCAUUCCUGCAGCGAGCCUCCACAAAAGCAUGAACUCAGUUAACUGGAAACCAUCUUUUUGUGGCACGUGAAACUCAUCCAAUCAUUUGAUAUCUUCCCAAUCAGUACAAACAAGAAAAAGAUACGUCAUCUCAUGAUCAAGCUUGAACAGGAAUGAAUACAUUAUGGUAGUGGGUUUCAACUUUUGAAAUCAAUAAGGGUUGACCACCAUGCCAUUUGCAACCAACAUGGUGCUUCGCUUGAGGCUUUUCUUUUUUAGCAUAAUACCAAAUUCUACUUCCACACACAUGUCACAACUCUUAUUUGAAGACAUAGGACAAAAGCUUAUCUCCUCAUUGGCAAGUAUUUUGAUGCGGCAGUUGGGAGUGUAGUGACAAUAUGGGUGUCUCACUUGUUGUUCGUGGAUGACACUUUGUUUUUUUGUGAUGCUAAUGGGACUCAACCACAUUAUUUAUGCCAAGUCCUCGCUUGGUUUAAGGCCAAGUCCUCACUCGGCUAGCUACUAGAGGGGUAAUUUUGACAGCGAGAAAUCAUAGAAAGCAGAAGGAUGCUUGCAUCAGUUGGCUUUACAUGUUUAAGGUUCGCGAGGACGCGAAUCAUCUUCUACUACAUUGUGGGACAACUAUGAGGUUGUGGUGGGAUAUGUUUAGGUUGUUUGGCACUUCAUGGGCAAUGCCAGAAUUUGUGGAAGAUUUGAUGAUAAGUUGGUAGAGCGGGAGAAGGAGAAAAAGACAGAGGGACUGGAAUGUGGUUCCACUUGCUUUAAUGUGGGUAGGUUGGAGAGUGAAACAAGAGAGCUUUUGAAGGUGUAGAAUCGAGUUUCUCUCGGUUCAGGAGAAGUCUCCGCUCUCUUAUUUUCUUUUGGUGUAAACAGAAAGUUCCUUGUAUAGUAGAUUCUUUACCUGUUGGUAUACCCCUUGUAUAUACCGUCAAUUUGGCCAUGUUAUGAAUAAAACACAUUUACAUGAUUAAAAAGAAUGAUAAACGACUCAAAAUAUUCAUCACAUUAUCCAAUAGCUUAGAUAUUCCAUAGUUUACAAUCUGAAAUAAACCAAAUUGUUGUCUGGCUUCUAGUAUUUCUUGGAGGAAACCAGCAAGAAUGAUGUUUGUAAAUGGUUUGUCUAGAUCAAGCGCUGGGAUGUUUCUACCUAUUGUUGUAUCGAACACCGUAGUAGGUACAUUGUCCCUAUAGGUUACUAUAGCAUCACGCCUUGAGAGUAUUCAUACAUUUGAAGCAUUUGCAACAUCUUGAACUUGAAGACCCUUACAGUAAACAAUAAGCACAUGUACGAAAGAAGAUAUACUCAGCUCUACACCAUCAAAGGAAGUCAUAGCUUCUUAAAUUGUCCUCCUCAUAUUUGCUCAUAGGGCUGGAGAACACUUUAUCCAAAUCAAAAUGAAACUCUGAUUCUGCAAUAACAAGAGGUGCUGAGACCUCCUUGGAUUCGCACUUAUCGUGCAAGGACACAACCACGUCCAAGUGCUCUGGAGCAUCAGGGUUAGUUUCGGAGGAGGCAGACAGUGUGUUCUCUAUGUUAUCGAGGUGUCUGAGUAUAUGGGCAUUAUUGUCCAUCCGUACCAUUAGCAAAUCCUGGAUGUAUUGAGGUGAUGAUGGAUAAUGGUAGAAAAGUAUAGAUCCAUGUAGUCCAAAUCAAUGAAAGAACCAACGUAACAGACGACAAUGCAGAAGCAACCAAACUCCCGAUUUAUACUGAUAGGAACUGACUCAAUUACAGUAUCAACUAAUACUUGAAUGACAGUAAUACAAUUUAAGUGUGAAAAUAAUAUAGCUAGGGAUACUAGAGAGGGAGAUGCGAUGCUAGAACAUAGAAGGGGAUGAGAAGAUAACAGACUUUGCGAAAUUGCAAUAUAAUUUGUAUAAACCUAUUUGCUCUCACAGUUUGCUAUUUAUCAACCUGGAUUCUAGGCAUAGCCACUUAAUCAAGUGUUAGCCUACUUUGCCAAUACUGGUCCAGGCCUAUCCAUAACAGUAGCUAAUAUCUGUUCAUGUAUUUGCUUUAGGAAGAACAUUUUUUUCGUUCUGGUUUAUUUGAUGUUAGAUAGAGCCUUUUAACAUAAAACACUAUUAGAGAUAUUCAGCUAGAGAGCAGUUCAAAACUUAGUAGAGACAAAAAACACUAGGUGAUUCUUCCCAUUUGUCCUAGCCUUGGUGGACAGAGUUAUUCGGUACCUGUCGCUGGUGGGUGGUAGCAAGGUGGGAGGUGGCACGUAUCUUGUGGAAUUAGUCAAGGUGUAAAGCUGGCCCUGAUACCGGGGUCAUAAAAAAAUAUAUUCGAUUAGGAAGCAUUCCUCUAACAAGUGCUGUUUUUGGCAUUAUUGGAUCCACGAGGAGAGACAUGUAGCAUACCUCUCUCUGUGUAGACGAAGACAUAUGGUCAGCUUUUAUUUCUUACCAACUUUCGUUGAAUCUUCUUCAGAACUUUUCACUGGCACAGUGAUGUAGGGCAGACAGAGAAAUGUCUCUCAUUUUCUGCUGGAACUUAUGAAGUUCUCCUUGGGAUGAAGGCAUCGUCAAAAUAUGAAUACCAUUGCUCCGUCAUUCCUGCAUCAUUCUGUUCCUUUUCAAUGAAGUGGUAUACCUUAAAUGUGUUUCACUUGUAUCUGCUUUUUUGGCCUAUAGGCUACUUCAUCUUGUGCCUCCGUUUUUAUUUUUCUAAGAAUGAACUCUUUUUUGAGAAUGGUGGUGCCUCUAUUUUUAUAUCUAGGAACUCUGACAUUCUGCAGUUGUAUAUUCAUUAAAUUAAUAAGGUAUCUUUCCUCUGUAUCUGCUUAAAAUGUGAUGGAUGAUAUUAUAUUCAACUUUCAAGCUAACCUUUUGUUCUGCAAUUUCCUGUUUUUAGUAGAAUAACUUAUUGCUUCGAAGCAUGACUGAUUCUUCUUAUCCGCAUUUGGCUGCCUGUUAUUAUCUAAGAGUCUUUAAGUUUUCUUGUUCAAUUGCAGAAUUAUGGUCCUCUAGUUCAUGUAACAUUCUUACAAUUCCAAUAUGUUUCUAAGAUUCUGGUCAUAGUUCAUAUAAUAUCUUUUAUUCCCCUUCCAAUAGACCAUUAACAAUUUGAAGAGACUCAAACACCUGGGUAUUUCAGUCAAAUUAUAUAAAAUAAAGCAAGAUCUUUUAAAAAAUCUGAACUUGGUUAAUUGAGAGUUUUAAUGUCGGACUAAGGGUUGAAUCAGUUUCAAGGAAUUAGUAUCAUUGUCAACAUAAGUAGCGUGCAUCCAUCUAAGUUUACGGAUGAACUUCGUGAUUCUCCUCUGAAUGUCUGAACCUAGAAUUGCCAUCUACUCUGUAGUAUUGACACUAUCAAUAUGAUAUAUUGGCCUCUCCUCUAGAUACACACUUUUUCUUUCUUAGACCUUUAUCUCAUAUUUUACUUAUUUAAUUAUCUUAAGAAGUAUUUUUUAAUUCAUUGUUUCAUUUUGAACAUGUAGCAGUUAUUAGUUAAGUAAACAGGUGCACAAUCAUGAUUGUGCUAUUAUUUCUGGUUUGAGGGUUGAAUUUUAUACCAUUUUAAUAAAUUGAACCUUAAACUUGGAGAUCUGAAGUUGUUCUUCUAGUUCAGUCUAGCUUAACACUUAAUCAGCCUUGCAUUUGCCAGUGUUGUGGAUUUUUUUGCAUACAUCGUGUUGUCUUGGGGGAAGGGAAGGCUUUUCUGCGAAUUGUUUCGAAUGAUAUUUAGAUAUUGUAUUAUGUUGGACCUGCAUGCAGUUUUCACUGCAGGUGAAUGAAUCAAGCGAUAGUUCUAUCUUUACAAUUUGUGUAUGUUAUUUGAUAUGACAUUGUUUUUUUGUUUGUAUUAGAUUGUGUAAGAGCUGAACCUGUGAUAUACAAGAAACUGGAAGCAUCAUAUGAUGAUAUAGCACUUCUGAGGGCUUAUGUCGGGGACAGACCUACUUGGAGGACUCCACAGCACCCAUGGCGAGUAGAUGGGAGGUUCAACCUCAAAGGGGUACCAACCUUAAUCAGAUGGGAAAAUGAUGCAAUCAAAGGUCGUCUUGAAGACCAUGAAGCACACCUUGAUCACAAAAUUGGUUCCCUUCUGAAUGAAGCUUAAAGUGUCCCAUUAACUACUUCAAGGGGCUGCCUUAUAUUAUGAGAGUGCCUUAAUAAAAUAUGCGAAACUUCAUUGGCCUGAAUGAACCUCAUUUAAGAAGCCGUGAAUAUGAUGACUCAGUGCUAGUGGUAGCGGGAAAAACUAGUGAUUCUUGUUUAACAUGUGUUGCUUCCAUUUCUCCUGCCAUGCUUAGUGUACUAAAUUAUACAUCAAUAGCAUGUUUAAUGUGUUGCUAAAAUGGAAAUUAUUGCAUUGUGUUUGACAUGAAGGUUGUGGAGCUGAACUCCCAUCUCUUCCAGUGACUAGAACUCAUUGGCACUGCAGGGGGAAUGGAGAAUGACAUCUACACCCGUCCUGCUAUAAUCACUACAUCACCACCCAUCUUUUCCAUCUCAAGCACCCAUAUUCCUUUCCAAAACAGAGCAGCAAUCGCAACGGCCCAUCGGAGACAUUGUAGGUCUGAGGUCCAUUUCUAUUUUUGAUGAUUGUUGAUUUUGUUGGUGUUGUUCUAUUUUGCAAUUCAAGUUGAGUGUUCAGUGUCAAGAUUGUGUCUUACAAGUCUUGUUGGAUCAUGAUCAUUAAAAUUCUUUAAGAAUAAUAAUAAUAAUAAUAAUCUGAUUGGUAGUAUUCCAACGGAAACCGACA
rnacentral:lncRNA from 1 species